GUUGAAAUAAAUACAUGAGGUGCUUCACAUGAUUAGUGUGGAACGCUGGGAGGGUUAGUGCUGGGAGAGGGGGCUUAGCCCACUCUCCCUGACCAUGAGCAGAGUGCCCACUCUGGGCAGCCAGAUCGGCCACCCACACAACUACCGGCUUUGUCAUGCAGCCAGUAGGGGAGGCAGGGAUUGGGGCCCCUCCAGCACCCUGGAAGCCCCAGCAUGCCCUGUGUGAGUGCGCGAGGCAUGCUGAGGAGACCCCCUGAGACUGGGAGGUUUUAUGGAGCCUCCCAGUCAGGGGUCUCCUCACGGGUUACUGAAGUGUGGCGAUGCAUCUCAUGACCCAAAAACUGGGGUUAGUGGAGUGCUUGCUCCACUAGCCUGGGUUAAGGGAAGGGAUAUUUAGGUGGGCUAGCUGCCAGAGAACCCCUAGGCUCACCUAGUGGUUCUCACGACCGCACGAAAGUGUGCUGGGUUGCAUUAACCCCCUUGGACGAAGUUAAUUUCUCAGUAAUAGUGGUCCACAUAAGUAUAAGGUUGUUAACCUCUGUAGUUUGGGGUACAGAUCCCCUUCAUUAGCAGUGGCCCGGGCUGACGAGUAGGGUGCUUCUCAUCACAAUCUGUGACUACUGCAGAGAACUAUGUUCCCCUAAGACUGCAUUAACUCAGAACAAUACUUUUCAGACUUUCCACCUUCAGGAAACCCUUUCCACAUAAAUUGUCUGCAGAGGAACCUCUGCAGUCCUUGGGUGUUGCAGAAGAUUCUGUUGAAUGCUCUAGGUGUAUGCUCAUGCACAGUUGCAUGUAUAUUUUCUUCAAAGGAUUUGGGGAUAGGAGGAACUGUUUUACAGUGGUCCCACUCCUAUGUUUCAAGUUGUGGAGCUUGGUGACAGUUGCUCUUCAAUACAGGAGCUACUAUAUGGAGCCCCUCGUAUUCUAUCACCAGUGCUUUUUAACAUUUACAUGAAACUGCUGGGUGAGAUAAUCAGGGGAUUUGGUACUGGGUGUUAUCAAUAUGCUGAUGACACCCAAAUCUAUUUCAAUAUGAGGAAUGCCAUUAGCCCCUUAAAUGCCUGUCUAUGGGCACUAAUGGGCUGGAUGAGGGAUAAUAAACUGAAGCUGAAUCCAAGCAAGAUGAAGGUGCUCAUUUUGGGGGGUCGUAAUCUGCAAGACGGGAUAGAACCUCCUGUUCUGGAUGAGGUUAUACUCCCCCAGAAAGUACAGGUUCAUAACUUGGGAGUGCUCUUGGACCCCAGUCUCACUCUGGUGCCUCAGGUUUAGGCUGUGGUCAGGGGCACUUUUUACCAACUUCAAUUGAUUUGACAACUCAACCCAUUCCAUGAGGAGAAUGAGCUGAAACCAAUGGUACUCUAGCUGGUACCACUGUACCAGUCUGCAGCAGCCAGAUUGGUCUCCUGUUCUUAAACAGUUGCACUGGCUGCCAAUAUGUUUCUGGGCAAAAUACAAAGUGCUGGUUAUUACAUGGCUUAGGUCUUGAAUGGCUUAGGUCUGGGAGUGCCUUUCUCUACAAGAUCACCACCACUCAUUAAGAUAAUCAGGAUGGGGUCAGUCUUUGGGUGUCAUCAUUUCAUCUGGUGGUGACCUGGGAUAGGGCCUUCUCAGUUGUCACCCCUAAGUUGUGGAACCCACUCCCAAUGGAUAGAAGAAGAUUAUCUUCCUUAGAGGUCUUCAGGAGAGCCUUAAAGACCCAUCUUUUUUAGCCUGGCUUUUAAUGAUCUAAUUUUAAUGAGUUUUAAUCUGGGGUGUGUGUGUGUGUGUGUGUGUGUGUGUGUGUGUGUUUAAAAAUGUUAAUUGUUUCAUUUAUUUUUUAUUUUCAUGUAAAGCACUCUGAGUCACUUUAGGAAGGGUGGUAUAUAAAUGGAGUGAAUGAAUGAAUGAAUGAAUGAAUGCUGAGCUGCAAGCACUCCCUUCGCUAGUCCUUCCAUCCCAGAUAAAUAUGCCUUCUAUUUUCUCCUGCCAGCCCUUUCCCUUUCCCUUUCCCUUCUUCUUAGCACAUUGACCAGGCCAUAAGCAAUUCUUCUUCCACCCCAACUUUCCCCCCCAGCACCACAACUUCCUUCCUACUGACUAAUCCUGCUAGUCAAUAGGAAAGAUGUUCUGGAUUGGUUAUAAACCUGUUUUGGGUGGAGUCACACUCACUCUGAAAGAGAAGGUGAGCAGUUCUGAGGUUCUAAAGGACCCACUAUUGCACCUGUCAACCGGAGAGCCCUGGUGCUGCAGCUGCACUCAUUCCUGGAGAGGGUAGAUUUGGCUACAGUCACCCAUGCCUUAGUCUCCUCACAUUUGGACUCCUUCAAUGCAUUCUACAUGGGGCUGCUCUUGAAGAGUAACUAGAAACUUCAGCUAGUAUGAAACAGGGAUGCCAGGGGUCUCACUGAGAACAUGUAAUGGAAAAAUAUUAAAGAGUUUCACUGGCUGCCUCUUUGUUUAUGGGCCCAAUUUGUUUGUAGCAAUUUGCGUUUGAAGAAGGAGCUGAGUUAGCUACAACUAAGUUGCAACCUAGGUGUGAGGGGAAAUGGGCCUGCAACAGCUGCUUUCUGGGAAUCUGAUGGAGUCAGUGGAUUUGCUGCUUGUUUGCCUUCACUUAAGCUAUGGCUGUAUAUUUUAAAACAAAACACAUAUUACACAUGCAUUAUUUAUUUAUUUAUUUAUUUAUUUAUUAAAUUAUUUAUACCCCACCCCUCCAUUACACUACUGCUUGGGGUGGCUCACAACAAUAAAACAGAUACAAUGUAAAAUAAAACUAAUAAAAUUAACCAAAUUAAGUAAACAAGCUAAAAGUCCAGGCUAAAACCACAAUCAGAAUUAAAUUAAAAGUUAUUUUAAAAGCUAAACAUUGAGAGUUAUAAAAACUAAGAACUAAAGAACCUACCAGAUAUAACCAAAGAUGGAACACUGAAAAGCCUCUUUUAAAAUGCAAAUACCAGCACCUUGAAUCUAGCCUGGAAGUGGACCAAUAACCAAUGAAGCUUUGAUGGGAUGGAUGCGACACUCAUGAGGCAACUUGCACCCACGAGAAUCAUUGCAGCAGCAUUCUGGACCAGCUGGAGCUUCCGAACCAUCUUCAAUGGCAGCCCCACGUAGAGUGCAUUGCAGUAGUCCAAUAUGGAUGUUACCAAAGCAUGAGUGAAUGAAGUCAGGUAUGACUUCUCCAAGUAGGGUCGCAGUUGGUGUACCAGCCAUAAAAGGCACUUCUGCACACUGCCGCCACCUGUGCCUCCAAGGAGAGCGUCAGAUCCAGAAGCACCCCCAAGAUGUGGACUUUGUCUUUCAGAGGGUGUGCUAUCCUGUCCAAGAUCAGAUUUACCUCAUUACUCGGAUGAUCAGUUCUACCAACCCAGAGCACUUCCUUCUUAUCUGGAUUAACUUUCAGCUUGUUGGCCCUCAUCCAGUCCAGAACAGCCUCCAAACCCCAGUUCAGAACAUCCACUGCCUCCCUGGUGUCUGCUGACUUUAAAAAUAGGUACAGCUGGGUGUCUUCAGCAUACUGAUGACACUGCUGCCGACACCUAUGGAUGAACUCUCCCAGAGGUUUCAUGUAAAUGAUAAACAGCAUGGGGGACAGAAUAGAUCCCUGUGGCACCCCAUAGGCCAAAGGCCAAUGGGUGGAGCAGGCAUCCCCCAGUACCACCUUCUGAGUACAAUCUUCCAGGUAGGAGUGGAGCCACAGUAUAACUGUGCCCCCAAGUCCCAACCCGGAGAGAUGUCCCAGAAGGAUACCAUAGUCGAUAGUAUCAAAAGUGGCUGAGAGGUCCAGGAGAAUCAACAGUCACACUCCCUCUGUCUAUCUCCCAGUGUACAUCAUCCACCAGGGUGACCAAGGCAGUUUCCAUCCCAUAACCAGGUUGGAAGCUAGACUGGAAAGGAUCUAUGUAAUCAGAUUCAUCCAGGGCUGCCUGGAGCUGAGACGUUCUCCAACACCUUGCCGAAGAAGGGGAGGUUAGAAACUGGUCAAAAGUUAUUUAAGUCAUCUGGGUCCAAUGAGGGAUUUUCUCGGAAGGGCCUGCCUCCUUCAGCCAAGGGGUGACCACCCCCUGCUUUAGUGAGGCAUUCAUCACCCCACCACCAAUGGACCCAGUCCAUGAAGGCCUCGAAGCCUUCACCAACCAUGAAGGGCAAGGUUCAAGGAUGCACGUGGUAGGACUCAGUCUUCCAAGCAGCCUGUCUAAGGCAACACAGUUUGAAAACCAUCUAAUAUAACAAGACCAGAUGGUGCAUUGGCCACAUCCAGUUCCAGCACUGCAGAAAUCUUAGCAUCCAAGUCAGAACGGAUACAAACAAUUUUAUCCACAAAAUGUAGCACAAAUUGGUCACAGCAGGCUGCCAAGGGUUCUGUUUGAUGGUGUGGAAGCCACUCUAUAGGCCUUUUAUGUAUGCUUUAUGCCAAAAUGUACCUGAGCAGAAACGCUUAGCAAGAAGCAGACAAAAUGACAGCCAGGCUUAGCACAGAAGGCAGGAAAAUUGCUGGCUUGCAGUUUUAGCUUAAAAUAGAUUUAGAAAAGUCCCUUAAGAUUUAAAUAAUACUUGAGCAAACUACCAGAAGAUGCCCUUUGCAAUACCAUGUCUGGGUCAUUCUAAUCAUUCAGACAUGUGUGCUGCCACCACACCAUCACUGCACCAGGGCUGCUGGGGAGAGCACUGCCACAGCAGGAAGCUGCAUGGAGCAUCAGAGGAGUAGUCUCACUGUUUGUGCAAUCAUGGGCUCCCCAGAGAGAUCCUUGGAGACUAUUGUACAACAAACAGAUGUAAAGCCUAGCCCGAGAAAGCGGUAUAUUAGCACAAGUUCUGAUGAUGAGAAACUUCCACCUGCCAAGCAUCCUGAAGAAGAAAAUCAAGACGUUUAUGAAAUCUGGCAGGGAAUCUUGGAGGCUGCAGCUGUAGAACCUUUUGGAGCCCAGGAGGGUGAGGACCGAUGUCUUGACACACACCCUCUAGCAAUGUGGAACUAUACAGAGCCAGGGAACAUGCAUAUCAGGAACCCUCCUGCUGUGAGAAUGCAUCAACCCAGUCAUGUUACUUUGCAGAAUUUCCUAGAACUACAAGUGAAUGAUUCAGAUAACAUACCAGCAAGGAAAAGGAGGUCUGCUAUGAAGGGGCUUGUGAGAGCGGGGGUAUAUGGAGUUUUAAAAUACUGUCUGAAGAAUUGCAUGCAUGAUUCAUGCUACGGGUGUAUGGUUCAAGCAGGGGCUCAAGACUCACAUGAAUGUGUCACCUGGACUGAAAGAAAUAUUUCCAGAUUUAUUAGAAUAUUGUCUUCAAGGAUGUGUGUGAAAGCAGUGCUCCACAUAAUCAUUAUAAUUGGUUAUUGUCUGAAAAUGCUAAUGCUGACUAGUGAAACAGUUGAUCAGACUCUAAAUCUCAUCACCAGUGUUAAGGAUUCUGAUGACCAGAAGGUGGUAUUAGAAGCUAUCCCACACCAGAAAGAUUCCAGAAUGCUCUUUUUUGUGAACUGUGUCCUUGAAAAAAGAGUACAGACAAUUUCUUGUUCCAGAGGUAGCUGUAUAAAUUCCUUUGCAAAAGUAUAAAUGUAGUAUUUAACACUGCAUUCUUGUGGUGUGUUGUUUUUUGUCAACACAUCCCACAUGGUCUCUAUGCCUGAGAAGAAACACAGCUUCAGACUGCAUCUGUUUUUCUAUUAAAAUGCUAUUUUAUUAUGUAUCAUUUUAUAAAAAUAAAA